rnacentral:rRNA from 1 species
AGUGAACGCUGGCGGCGUGCUUAACACAUGCAAGUCGAACGAGAACGGGUUAUAGCUUGCUAUAAUUGUCAGCUAAGUGGCGCACGGGUGAGUAAUGUAUAGGUAAUAUGCCUCUUACUAAGGGAUAACAAAUGGAAACGUUUGCUAAUACCUUAUACUCCUUAUUAACAGAAGUUAAUAAGGGAAAGAUUUAUUGGUAAGAGAUUAGCCUGUAUUGUAUCAGUUAGUUGGUGGGGUAAUGGCUUACCAAGACUAUGACACAUAACUGGUUUGAGAGGAUGAUCAGUCACACUGGAACUGAGACACGGUCCAGACUCCUACGGGAGGCAGCAGUGGGGAAUAUUGCACAUGGACGAAAGUCUGAUGCAGCAACGCCGCGUGGAGGAUGACACAUUUCGGUGCGUAAACUCCUUUUAUAUGGGAAGAUAAUGACGGUAUUAUAUGAAUAAGCACCGGCUAACUCCGUGCCAGCCGCCGCAGUAACAC